AAAAUACGUCCGUUUGGUGAUGUGUUUGCUACUGAUCCGCGAGAUUACUCGGUCACUCAGUUCCUGAUUAUGUGCUUGUUAAAUUCUUAUUUUAAACUAAUAUGAGCUGUGACAUGUCAAUGGAGAACAGAAGCUGGAGUGUGAACACAGAGGAAGGGGCAGACUGCGUGUGAGGUCCUGCAAACAUAUGGCGAUUUCAGAUCAAGCACAUGUUUUUCAGGGAAAACAGGCACCCAACACAGAGACUACAGUGGCACAAAAAAAGGGGAAUAGAACUUGUCACCAUUAUCAGUCCUUUAUUUCAUUCACUGGAGAACAUCACAACCU